UACGAAGGGGGCUAGCGUUGUUCGGAAUUACUGGGCGUAAAGCGCACGUAGGCGGACUACUAAGUCAGACGUGAAAUCCCUCGGCUUAACCGGGGAACUGCGUCUGAUACUGGAUGGCUUGAGUUUGGGAGAGGGAUGCGGAAUUCCAGGUGUAGCGGUGAAAUGCGUAGAUAUCUGGAGGAACACCGGUGGCGAAGGCGGCAUCCUGGACCAACACUGACGCUGAUGAGCGAAAGCCAGGGGAGCAAACGGG
rnacentral:rRNA from 1 species